rnacentral:tRNA from 1 species
UGUUCUGUGGUGAAGUUGGUUAACGCACUCUGCCGAGCGAAAUGGAGAGACGUGGGUUCAAACCCCAUCCGAACCA